rnacentral:lncRNA from 1 species
UUUAUUAAGUAACAAGAAAUACGCUUGGGAGAAACAAAUAUUUUUUAAAUAAGUAAGAAAAUGACUCUGAGAGGAAAAAAGAGAGUAUAAUCUAACUAGAUAAAAAAAAAGAUAAUGAUAAUUAAUGGAUAAAUAAAAACAAAAAAGAAUUAUUGGAACCUGUAAAAAAAUAAAAAGAAUAGUCACCAAAAUGUAAAAGGUGUCGAAGCUAGAAUUCCAUAAAAAAAAAAUUGAAAAAAA